UUAAAUUUUUUUAAGCCUGCUUAAUCUAGGAGACUUUCUUUUCUCAUUUACAGGGGAGUUUUGCACAGUCCUUCUGACAAGUGCAAGAUCGCCAGUGGGAAUGAGACCUGUAAUUAAUGCGUUGAAUGUUCAGUGCAAGCAAAAGGCUCUUGGAUGAAGAAGCUCUUCUGGGUCUGUCAGGCGUCUGACAAGAGGACAAACAGUGUUAGCUGGAAUGGUGGAAUCUGUGAUAUGUGAUACAUUUAAUGCAAGGUCUCUGUCUGAGUCCGGUUCAAAUAGUUCAACGAAUUCCAUGUAGACUCACCGUCUUAGGACUGAUAAAGGUUGAUACCUGGACUGCUUAACGGAGAAAAAUCUGAGCAUGUGGUUUCCAGCAUUCAUUGGCUGAUCUUGAUGGUUUCAUGCAUGCUGAAGGCUUCCUUCAAGACUUGCUACCACAGCUUUGACCGGUUUAAGUUGGUCUGGAGUUUCUGCCUUCAAUAAAAUGCUGGUAAAUUACA
rnacentral:lncRNA from 1 species